rnacentral:lncRNA from 1 species
UGAAGGUGCUUAAACCAUCCUAGCCCAUGGAUCUUUUGUUAGCAGAAGCACAAGCUAUUAAUGAGGUUCUUUUAGUAGUUACUGUCAGAUUUGUUGUUUAAUCAUCGAAGGUGAUUUCCGCACUCUCACAAACAUUUCACAAAGUUUUUCACAGUAAACAUUGGGAGACGGUUUUAAUUCUUCUUUCCGAGUUCUUGCAACCGUUCUCUUGAUAAAAUGGCUUGCUCCCAUGGAAAGCAUAGAAUGUGGUUAAAUGCUCUUACAACUUUUUUGAAAGAAAAGAAAGGUAAAAUGUACUCUUCCGCCAUUGUUCCGUGGAACCAAGAAUUUGUAGGAAAAAAACACUCAUUCACUUUGUGAGAUCACAAACUCAACCAAAUAUGGCCAACUACGUGUAAGUUUAUGAAUACAAAGUCUAUCGAAGCUAGUCACCACAAAUACCAAUGCUAGGCAAGCAAAAUGUAUGGACUGAUUCUAAGUGGCAAAACAUCAAAUACAUAGAAGGCAUACACAAGAGACACAAGAUUUAAUGUGGUCGGCAUAUAGCCUACAUCUACGGGUCAUGCUCCGAUCAAACUUCUACUAUAAUAAAUAAAUUACAGUGAUUUCUAUUCAAGUAUCAACAUAUAUUACUUGAGCCAACACAAUCCAAAAAGAGGAGAAAGAUAAGGGUACCUCAUGAACAUGAACAAGCCAACUCCAACACAAAAUCUUCCAAACAACUUGUUGGAAGAAACUACAUCCUUGAAAAUACAAGCUUCAAUGAGUAUCAAUGGAUAUGGGAGUAGGACACACAAGCUCUCCCCAAACCCUAGCCGUCUUCCCUCACAAAGAGCUCUGAUUUUCGUGCUUCUGUUUUUAUAUCUAGAAAAAACAGCACCCAGGCUUUAAAGUUAGGCUUAAAAUGACUUAAGAGGUUCCAUGGGCUUGGACCAAAAGAAAAGGCCCA